GAUGAACGCUGGCGGCGUGCCUAAUACAUGCAAGUCGAGCGAACGGACGAGAAGCUUGCUUCUCUGAUGUUAGCGGCGGACGGGUGAGUAACACGUGGAUAACCUACCUAUAAGACUGGGAUAACUUCGGGAAACCGGAGCUAAUACCGGAUAAUAUUUUGAACCGCAUGGUUCAAAAGUGAAAGACGGUCUUGCUGUCACUUAUAGAUGGAUCCGCGCUGCAUUGCUAGUUGGUAAGGUAACGGCUUACCAAGGCAACGAUGCAUAGCCGACCUGAGAGGGUGAUCGGCCACACUGGAACUGAGACACGGUCCAGACUCCUACGGGAGGCAGCAGUAGGGAAUCUUCCGCAAUGGGCGAAAGCCUGACGGAGCAACGCCGCGUGAGUGAUGAAGGUCUUCGGAUCGUAAAACUCUGUUAUUAGGGAAGAACAUAUGUGUAAGUAACUGUGCACAUCUUGACGGCACCUAAUCAGAAAGCCACGGCUAACUACGUG
rnacentral:rRNA from 1 species